rnacentral:rRNA from 1 species
GACGAACGCUGGCGGCGCGCCUAACACAUGCAAGUCGAACGAGCGAGCGAGAGCUUGCUUUCUUGAGCGAGUGGCGCACGGGUGAGUAACGCGUGAGGAACCUGCAUCAAAGAGGGGGACAACAGUUGGAAACGACUGCUCAUACCGCAUAAGCUCACGACACGGCCUCGGGUUGAGGGAAAAGGAGCAAUCCGCUUUGAGAUGGACUCGCGUCCGAUUAGCUAGUUGGUGAGGUAACGGCCCACCAAGGCGACGAUCGGUAGCCGGACUGUGAGGUUGAACGGCCACAUUGGGACGAAGACACGGCCCAGACUCCUACGGGAGGCAGCAGAGGGGAAUAUUGCACAAUGGGGGAAACCCUGAUGCAGCGACGCCGCGUGGAGGAAGAAAGUCUUCGGAUUGUAAACUCCUGUUGUUGAGGAAGAUAAUGACGGUACUCAACAAGGAAGUGACGGCUAACUACGUG